CACAACCUGCAUAUGCUCUAAACCAGUAAACCCACCCCCAAGAUCAUAUCUCAUCUUGAACAACCACCACUCCUAGCCAUCGUCGUCGGUCUUAGCCACCUCCGCCACCGCCGCCUCUUUCCGUCAGCGCCACACCUGAUUCUAUUCCGAUUUGUUAGGUUUACAUAAAUUUUGAGGACGACUCCAUUUGUUGGUCUUGCUACGCUAAGCUAAGGUAAUCAGGGAUAAUAUGGGGAAUCAAUAAUGAGAGAUUAAUGGAUGUUCAAGAGUAUCUAAAGACUCUUUAUUUUGUUAAAUCAUGUACUUUUAAAUGAACUUAAGACUUAGGGUAUUUUGAGACGUGUAUGUCACCUUGAAUCCUAUCUUAUAUUAAGUGGAUGUGUUUUGGUUA